AUUGAACGCUGGCGGCAGGCCUAACACAUGCAAGUCGAACGAGUGGCGGACGGGUGAGUAAUGUCUGGGAAACUGCCUGAUGGAGGGGGAUAACUACUGGAAACGGUAGCUAAUACCGCAUAACACAGGAUGUGCCCAGAUGGGAUUAGCUAGUAGGUGGGGUAACGGCUCACCUAGGCGACGAUGCCUAGCUGGUCUGAGAGGAAGACCGGCCACACUGGAACGGAGACACGGUCCAGACUCCUACGGGAGGCAGCAGUGGGGAAUAUUGCACAAUGGGCGCAAGCCUGAGGCAGCCAUGCCGCGUGUAUGAAGAAGGCCUUCGGGUUGUAAAGUACUUUCGGCGGAGAGGCGUUACCCACAGAAGAAGCACCGGCUAACUCCGUGCCAGCAGCCGCGGUAAUAC
rnacentral:rRNA from 1 species